GCACCAAGGGGAUGGCCCAAGCCAUUCAUGAGGAAUCUGUUCCCAUGAUCCAAAUCCCUCCCACCAGGCCCCACCUCCAACGUUGGAGAUUAAAAUUCAGUAUGAGAUCUGGAGGGGAGAAACGUCCAAACUCUAUCAGAUAGUAAAUUGAUUUAAUGGUCAGGAAUGCAUUUGGUGGCCAGUCUUCCAGGGGGCCCAUGAAAGUUCAGGAUUUCUUCUGAAUUUUGUCCUUGGAGGUGUGGGAAGAAUGAAUAUUGAAUAUUCAUACUCAACAUGAAUAUUUUGGAAGCUGGGCCUGAAAGUUAAGGUUCACUGAAAGCUAAAAAUGAGAUGAACUCAGUGAAAGUACUGUGGAAAGAGGCACCUGGCUGGAUAUUUGAAUCUUCUUAACCCUGAGCUCUGCUUCAGUCUCAUCUGUUGUGUUCAUGACAUGACUCUCUAAUCACUAUGGGCAAUUGGGAAAAUGGUUAUUUUCAAAAAGAAAUUGACUUGUCUCUUCGUAGUUUAAUGUAGAAGCAGGUAUAGUUUGGUUAUGGUGAAAUCUGGUAAGUUGGUCUUUGUGAUAAUACAUACCUUUUGGUUUCAGAAAACAUUGUAUACUUAUUUUCUAUAUGACUAAUUUUCCGAGCACUUUUCAUUCUAGAUAAUUUAUCUUCAUCCCCUAAAAUUCCAGCAGAAACAAUUCUUCCUAUUUAAGAUAUCUUAGCAACUGGUACCCAAUUUAUCUAAUGUAUUCCCUUAGCCUCUAGGAGAAAUUAAAAAUAAUCUGUGGAGUACUGAGUAUAGUCUAAUAGCAGAAGGGUACCAUAGCCCAUUGUUUCUAACUAUUUGCAUCAUUUUUGGCAGGUCCAAUGACGGCAUCCACAGAUGAGGCCAAAGCUUGAAUGCCCUUGGAGCCUAUACUGCUUUUAGGCCCUGGCAGAAACAUGGUUUUUAAAUCACAUUCCAAAGUGCAAUUACCAACAAUGAAUAAAUACAUCAUAACAAUGGGGGAAGCAGAAAAUGACUUUAGAAAGACAGAGUGAUCUUUUGAGACACAGUCUAUAUAAUUCCUAGGAAGCCCUGAUAGUAUCUUCUUGGGAAAUCUCCCUGCUGCAGGAAACUGCCUUCCUAGAUUUUACCUCACUGCCUCUAGUUGCAGUUACUUCAGGUUCUCAGGUGAAGCGCCAAGUAUGUCACUGAAAGCCCAGUGGAGUUAAGUGUGCAAAGUCAGUCUGAACAUAUGCUGUAAUGGAUUUGACCUCGAAUAGCACUACAAAGAGAAAUUGCAGAUAACCAUCUGAACUGACUUCUGAAGCUUGUAGUUCUGGCUCCUGAGAUACAGAGAGAAAAGUGAGACCAAACAGGUGGGAGCAAACAACUCAGAGAGACCAGAAUGAAUACGAGUCUAACUUUAAAAGUAAAUAAAAUUAAAUAAAAAUGAUUUAUUCUAUAGCUCUUUGUCUUUUAUUGGUUCCCACACAAUGUCCACACAAUAAACAG
rnacentral:lncRNA from 1 species